AUUCCGGUUGAUCCGCCGGACUGACUGCUAUCGGAUUGAUACUAAGUCACGCGAGUCUUUGUAGCAAUACAAGGCAGACGGCUCAGUAACACGUAGUCAAUCUACCCUAUGGACGGGGAUAACCUCGGGAAACUGGGAAUAAUACCCGACAGAUCAUUAUGCCUGGAAUGGUUUAUGGUUCAAAUGAUUUUUCGCCGUAGGAUGGGACUGCGGUCUAUCAGCUUGUUGGUGAGGUAAUGGCCCACCAAGGCUAUAACAGAUACGGGCUCUGAGAGGAGAAGCCCGGAGAUGGGUACUGAGACACGGACCCAGGCCCUAUGGGGCGCAGCAGGCGAGAAAACUUUGCAAUGUGCGAAAGCACGACAAGGUUAAUCCGAGUGAUUCCUGCUAAAGGAAUCUUUUGUUUGUCAUAAUACCACUAAUGAAUAAGGGGUGGGCAAGUUCUGGUGUCAGCCGCCGCGGUAAAACCAGCACCUCAAGUGGUCAGGAGGAUUAUUGGGCCUAAAGCAUCCGUAGCCGGCUUUGUAAGUUUUCGGUUAAAUCUAUAUGCUCAACAUAUAGGCUGCCGGGAAUACUGCAAAGCUAGGGAGUGGGAGAGGUAGACGGUACUCCGUAGGAAGGGGUAAAAUCCUUUGAUCUAUGGAUGACCACCUGUGGCGAAGGCGGUCUACCAGAACACGUCCGACGGUGAGGGAUGAAAGCUGGGGGAGCAAACCGGAUUAGAUACCCGGGUAGUCCCAGCUGUAAACUAUGCAAACUCAGUGAUGCAUUGGCUUGUGGCCAGUGCAGUGCCGCAGAGAAGUCGUUAAGUUUGCCGCCUGGGAAGUACGUACGCAAGUAUGAAACUUAAAGGAAUUGGCGGGGGAGCACCACAAGGGGUGAAGCCUGCGGUUCAAUUGGAGUCAACGCCGGG
rnacentral:rRNA from 1 species